GCCGCGGUCGCAUAGCCCGGCCAUUGCGGUGAUUUUUGAUCCACUGUCCGCAAGGAUACGGGAGUUCAAAUCUCCCCCGCGGCG
rnacentral:tRNA from 1 species